UACGGAGGGUGCGAGCGUUGUCCGGAAUCAUUGGGCGUAAAGGGCGCGUAGGUGGCCUGGUCAGCGUGCGGUGAAAGCCUGGGGCUCAACCCCGGGUCGGCCGUGCGAACUGCUGGGCUGGAGCACUGUAGAGGCAGGCGGAAUUCCGGGAGUAGCGGUGGAAUGCGUAGAGAUCCGGAAGAACACCGGUGGCGAAGGCGGCCUGCUGGGCAGUAGCUGACACUGAGGCGCGACAGCGUGGGGAGCAAACAGG
rnacentral:rRNA from 1 species